UUUGGAAUGCAGCUGGAGCAGAUGCCAAGCCAUAAGGUACCUUGCAGAAUCUGAAGAGGUCCUCGUGUGUAAGAAAAGCAGUGAGGUCCCGGCAAUCUUCAUGAAGAGUUGUCUACUAUAACUGCCUUGUUGGGCCCUCGCAAGUCCACACACAUGCGGAUCCCCCCCGUUUUCUUUUGGACCACAACAAUCGGAGAAACCCAUGGAGAAGAAUCAAUCCGUUCGAUCACACCAGCCUGUAAGAGACGUUCCAGUUCUGUGGAAACAGCAUCUCUCACGGAGAAAGUUGUUCACACAGCCUAAUGCAGCACGCUGUGAUGGAGAAGUGGAGAGAGCACAGACUGGAGCGGAUUGUGCUGAUGGCAGCACAGUGUGUCCAGUAAUUUGCAGCUGAAGUCCCUUAAUCAGAUCCAUGCCUAGCAAAGCAGUGCCAGUGUCAACAAUGAAGAAGUGUGCAGGACAGGUAAUGCCAUAUUUAGUGACUGUAGCAGAUAAACAUCCUAGUACUGAAAUCGGCUCUUGUAAGUAAGUAACUAAACGGGCAGCAGGGGCAUGCAACGGCACAGUGCGAAAAUGCUGUUCAUACAGUUGUUUCGGCAGGAUGGACACAGACGAACCAGAGUCCACAGUAAGUUGAAGAGACACAGGGGUAGCAGCAGGUGAGGCAUGUACGGUCACUUCACACAUCAGACGGUCAGUCGCUCCAGGCAGAUGGAGAAUACAGACCUCUGGCAAUUCAACUGAAUGCACUGAAUGAGUAGGAGCAGAACGGCAGACUCGUGCAAAAAGUCCAAUCUUAUUGCAAUUCUUACAUUUAGCAGAUGCAGCGGGGCAGUUCUGUGCGUUUGCAAGAUGUCCAGCAGAGCCACAGCGAAAGCAUGUUCGAGCUGACGGAGCAGAAGCAGGUGGUUUUGAUGAGAUGAGGAAACGAUCGCACUUCAGUCGGAACUGGAGGCUGUGGAGAAGCAGAUCCAGGAUCUACUAGAGAAGCAGACACGCCUGCGAGAACGAAAAACGGGGCUGGAAACAUCCAGAGCUGACGCUCGCAAAUCCGCGAGCCCAGGCUUCGAGAACACGGUCAGCCCAAAUGAACUUCACUCCUGCACCGGCACACCCACGGCGAAAGGCGCGAGCCAGGACUGGAGCGAUGACCCAUCUGCCGCCACCGGUCUUCGAGAUUCCGACCAGGAACCGCUUUGCCGCCCUUUGCGAGACGGAAUGCAACGCUGUGGUCAUUGGAGACUCAAUCGUCCGGAACGUACGCGCUUCCUCCACUAAAGGUAAGGUGCGCACUCAUUGUUUUCCUGGCGCCCGUGUUCUUGAUGUCUCUGCGCAGGUACCUGCGAUCCUGAAGGACGAUGCUAACGUCGGAGCUGUCGUGCUGCACGCCGGGGUGAAUGACGUCAGGAUGAGGCAGUCGGAGAUCCUGAAGAGGGACUUCAGGAGUCUGAUCG